GACGAACGCUGGCGGCGUGCCUAACACAUGCAAGUCGAGCGGGGUUGAAGCGAGGGGUAACUCGGACUUCUACCUAGCGGCGGACGGGUGAGUAACGCGUGGGCAACCUGCCUCAAGGUUUGGGAUAACAGCUCGAAAGGGCUGCUAAUACCGGAUAUGCCUGUGGCCUCGCAUGGGGCUAUGAGCAAAGGGGAAACCCGCCUUGAGAUGGGCCCGCGUCCCAUCAGCUAGUUGGUGAGGUGAAGGCUCACCAAGGCGACGACGGGUAGCCGGCCUGAGAGGGUGACCGGCCACACUGGGACUGAGACACGGCCCAGACUCCUACGGGGGGCAGCAGUGGGGGAUCUUGCACAAUGGGCGAAAGCCUGAUGCAGCGACGCCGCGUGAGCGAAGAAGGCCUUCGGGUGUAAAGCUCUGUCUGGAGGGACGAAACGAAACUAGACGGUACCGUCCGGGACGGAAGGACCGACGGCGUAACCUACGUACGGCCAGCAGCCGCGGUAACUACGUUAGCGUG
rnacentral:rRNA from 1 species